AUGCGGGAAGACCUCGUUGUGUGUGAUCCCAUCACCGGUGAGAAUCACCACAUGUCUAUUCCAUCGAAAUUCAAGGGGGUAUUCAUUAGCGGGGCGGUGCUUUGCGCUGCCGGUGACCAGGGCCAUGUGCACGGUGGCUGCCACUCCAGUCCUAUAAAAGUGGUCUUGGUGUCCACGACAAAAGAUACUAGAGCCCUAGCCUGUGUUUACUCCUCGGAGACUGGCGUAUGGGACAAUCUGAUCUCAACAUCAACUCCAUGUCAGCUUUUUGUUGGUCAUUUUUCUGGGACCCUCAUUGGCAAGGCCCUUUAUUGGCCGCUUUUUACUCCUGAGAAGGGCAUACUGGAGUUUAAUUUGGAAGAGCUGAGCCUAGCUGUGAUUGAGGGUCCUCCUUUGACAAACAAUUUCGACAUGGGCAAUAUUUGGAUCAUUCAGGCUGGGGAUGGUGUUCUUGGCUUAGCCGUAUUGUCUUACCCUUUCUUCCAAAUUUGGCAAAGGGAGGUCAAUUUUCAUGGUGUUGCCGCAUGGGUACUGCAAAAGACCAUUGAAAUACAUAGCAUUCUUGGUCUGCCUCCCCAGAUUGGAAGAGGGGCAAGAGCGAAGAAAACUAUAGUGGGAUAUUUUGAGGAUGCUGAUGUAGUUUUUAUACUUGUGGGUGAUAGUCUGUAUAUGGUUCAACUUAAAUCGAUGCAAUGCAAGAGACUUUGUGAAACCAAUAUUUCGGUUUGCUACUAUCCUCUCACGAGCUUCUAUGUACUAGGCACAUCCAUUGGAUCUAAUGGAGAAAAUGAUGCGUGA
rnacentral:rRNA from 1 species